rnacentral:rRNA from 1 species
GAUGAACGCUGGCGGCGCGCCUAAUACAUGCAAGUCGAGCGAACAGAUGAGGAGCUUGCUCCUCUGACGUUAGCGGCGGACGGGUGAGUAACACGUGGAUAACCUACCUAUAAGACUGGGAUAACUUCGGGAAACCGGAGCUAAUACCGGAUAAUAUAUUGAACCGCACGGUUCAAUAGUGAAAGACGGUUUUGCUGUCACUUAUAGAUGGAUCCGCGCCGCAUUAGCUAGUUGGUAAGGUAACGGCUUACCAAGGCAACGAUGCGUAGCCGACCUGAGAGGGUGAUCGGCCACACUGGAACUGAGACACGGUCCAGACUCCUACGGGAGGCAGCAGUAGGGAAUCUUCCGCAAUGGGCGAAAGCCUGACGGAGCAACGCCGCGUGAGUGAUGAAGGUCUUCGGAUCGUAAAACUCUGUUAUUAGGGAAGAACAAAUGUGUAAGUAACUAUGCACGUCUUGACGGUACCUAAUCAGAAAGCCACGGCUAACUACGUG